rnacentral:rRNA from 1 species
AGUGAACGCUGGCGGUAGGCCUAACACAUGCAAGUCGAACGGCAGCACAGUAAGAGCUUGCUCUUACGGGUGGCGAGUGGCGGACGGGUGAGGAAUACAUCGGAAUCUACUUUUUCGUGGGGGAUAACGUAGGGAAACUUACGCUAAUACCGCAUACGCCCUACGGGUGAAAGCAGGGGAUCUUCGGACCUUGCGGGAUUGAAUGAGCCGAUGUCGGAUUAGCUAGUUGGCGGGGUAAAGGCCCACCAAGGCGACGAUCCGUAGCUGGUCUGAGAGGAUGAUCAGCCACACUGGAACUGAGACACGGUCCAGACUCCUACGGGAGGCAGCAGUGGGGAAUAUUGGACAAUGGGCGCAAGCCUGAUCCAGCCCUACCGCGUGGGUGAAGAAGGCCUUCGGGUUGUAAAGCCCUUUUGUUGGGAAAGAAAAGCAGCAGGUUAAUACCCCGCUGUUCUGACGGUACCCAAAGAAUAAGCACCGGCUAACUUCGUG